rnacentral:piRNA from 1 species
UCUGCAAAUUGUAAUGAAAUG